CCCACUGAAGCGCAAGCUCGCCACUCAUACACAUCCCGAGAACGUAAUGGUUGUCGGGUGUUCAAAUUUACAAUGAACAAAUCACAGAUUUGUUGGAUCCAAGCCAAAGAAAUCUUCAGAUAAGAGAAGAUGUCAAAUCUGGUGUUUAUGUUGAAAAUUUGACAGAGGAGUAUAUAUGCACAAUGAAGGAUGUUACACAACUACUGAUAAAGGGAUUGUCAAACAGGCGGACAGGUGCAACUAGUAUAAAUGCAGAAAGCUCACG